AAGCGUUCCAAGUGUAAAGGCUCUGCCUGGAGCGAAAGGGUGCAGAUGAAUUGGGUUUUAAGACAGCACUCUUCCUGGGAAGAGAAUGAAUUGUAAUGGGGCAGGAUGGAGAAAGGGCGGCUGGUUAGGAAGCUAUGGCAGUAGCCCAGGCAAGAGAGAGAAAAGCCAACUGAGAUAACACCAACCAGACUGCUGGGAGGACCACCACCCAUGAUAAGCCAUCAAGACACACCCUGUGCCAUGCCUGCAUGUUUUCCAUACCAGUUUUCCCUUUUUAUACCCUUGCAUACAACCUAAAAAUCAGAAAUGGUUUCUUUGAGACCUGAACGUGGCCAUUUCUUCACCAGCCAGCUUUUGGAA